UGUGUUGUUAAGCUACUAAGGGUGUACGGUGGAUGCCCUGGCAUCAGGAGGCGAUGAAGGGCGUAGCUAGCUGCGAUAAGCCCCGGGGAGCCGCAAGCAGGCCGUGAUCCGGGGAUGCCCGAAUGGGGAAACCCAGGCGAUGAAUGCCGCCUAUCCUCCGCGGAAUCCAUACGCGGAGCGAAGCCCACGCAGGGAAGUGAAACAUCUCAGUACCUGCAGGAAAAGAAAGCAACCGCGAUUCCCCCAGUAGUGGCGAGCGAAAAGGGAAUAGCCUAAACCCUACAUAUGCCAAGUCCGUAUGCGUUGUAUGUGGGGGGUCGAAGGCCUUUGCCGGAUAGCGAUACGGCGCUGUCGGCGAGUCACAAACCAGGAUCUUAGCUGAACGGUCUGGAAAGGCCGGCCGCAGCGGGUGACAGCCCCGUAAGCGAAAAGACCCUGGCUCGCUUGGCGAAGGUCCUGAGUACCACGGGGCCCGAGAAACCCAGUGGGAAUCUGGGAGGACCACCUUCCAAGGCUCAAUACUACCUGAUGACCGAUAGCGCACCAGUACCGCGAGGGAAAGGUGAAAAGAACCCCGGUGAGGGGAGUGAAAUAGAACCUGAAACCGUACACCUACAAGCAACGAGAGGGCUAUGGCCCGCAAGGGCAAUGCCUGAUCGUGUGCCUUUUGCUUAAUGAGCCGGCGAGUUAUUCUGCGCAGCGAGGUUAAGCCGGAGAGGCGGAGCCGUAGCGAAAGCGAGUCCGAAACGGGCGUUUAGUUGCGUAGAAUAGACCCGAAGCGAGGUGAUCUACCCAUGGCCAGGAUGAAUCCGCCGUAACAGGCGGAGGAGGUCCGAACCGGUGUUUGUUGCAAAAAGCUCGGAUGAGCUGUGGGUAGGAGUGAAAGGCUAAUCAAACCUCGUGAUUGCUGGUUCUCCCCGAAAUAGCUCUAGGGCUAGCCUCGUCUCAGCCGUAGCGGAGGUAGAGCACUGGAUGAGCUAGGGGCGUUCCAACGCUACCGAACUCAACCAAACUCCGAAUGCCGCUACUGGACGGACGGGAGUCAGACUACGGGCGCUAAGGUCCGUGGUCAAAAGGAGAAUAGUCCAGACCGCCAGCUAAGGUCCCGAAUCGUGAGCUAAGUGGAAAAGGUUGUAGGGUCGCUCAGACAGCCAGGAGGUUGGCUUAGAAGCAGCCACCCUUUAAAGAGUGCGUAACAGCUCACUGGUCGAGCGAGCCUGCGCCGAAAAUUUAACGGGGCUUAAGUUCACAACCGAAGCUGCGGACUUGCGCUGCAAGGCGUGAGUGGUAGGGGAGCAUUCUCUAGGCGGUGAAGGUCGACCGACAAGGACGACUGGAGCGUAGAGAAGAGAUUAUGCCGGCAUAAGUAGCGAUAAACGAUGUGAGAAUCAUCGUCCCCGUAAGCCUAAGGUUUCCUGGCCUAUGUUCGUCAGGUCAGGGUUAGUCGGUCCCUAAGCCGAGGCCGAAAGGCGUAGGCAAUGGAAAACAGGUCAACAUUCCUGUACCACCGCGUGGACGUUAUCAGCGAAGGGGGGACGCAGGAGGGUAGGUACCGCCGGGUCCCUGGAAUACCCGGUCCAAGCACGUAGGCGGGGCUCGUAGGCAAAUCCGCGGGCCCGUUACCGCCGAGAUGUGAUGGGGAGGCCGCAAGGCCGCAAACGGACUGAUCCCACACUGCCGAGAAAAGCCUCGUAGCGAGUUCGCGUGGUGACCGUACCGCAAACCGACACAGGUAGGCGGGUGGAAUACACCAAGGGGCGUGAGAGAACACUCCCUAAGGAACUCUGCCAUCUAGCCCCGUAACUUCGGAAGAAGGGGUGCCUCGAGUAGGUGAGGCCGU
rnacentral:rRNA from 1 species